rnacentral:rRNA from 1 species
GUACACUCCUGCGGGAGGCAGCAGUGGGGAAUUUUGGACAAUGGGCGAAAGCCUGAUCCAGCAAUGCCGCGUGAGUGAAGAAGGCCUUCGGGUUGUAAAGCUCUUUUGUCAGGGAAGAAACGGUGAGAGCUAAUAUCUCUUGCUAAUGACGGUACCUGAAGAAUAAGCACCGGCUAACUACGUGCCAGCAGCCGCGGUAAUACGUAGGGUGCAAGCGUUAAUCGGAAUUACUGGGCGUAAAGCGUGCGCAGGCGGUUUUGUAAGUCUGAUGUGAAAUCCCCGGGCUCAACCUGGGAAUUGCAUUGGAGACUGCAAGGCUAGAAUCUGGCAGAGGGGGGUAGAAUUCCACGUGUAGCAGUGAAAUGCGUAGAUAUGUGGAGGAACACCGAUGGCGAAGGCAGCCCCCUGGGUCAAGAUUGACGCUCAUGCACGAAAGCGUGGGGAGCAAACAGGAUUAGAAACCCCAGUAGUCCCAUGA